rnacentral:rRNA from 1 species
GUGAACUUGGUGACAGCGGGCGGGGUAGAACGGAGGGGGCAGUGUUGGUUCGGAUUUCAGGGUCGAAAAGCGCGCGCAGGAUGAUUAAGAAGCCAGAUGUGAAAUCUGUGUGCGCAACACCGAAACUGCGUCUGUAACUGUUAAUCUAGAGGUAUGGAGGGGAGAGAGGAAUUUCGCAUGUAGGGGUAAAAUCCGGAGAGAUGCGAAGGAACACCAGAGCCGAAGGGGGCUCUCUGGCCAUCAACUGACGCUGAGGCGCGAAAGCGUGGGGAGCAAACAGGAUUAGAUACCCGUGUAGUC